AGUGAACGCUGGCGGUAGGCCUAACACAUGCAAGUCGGACGGCAGCACAGUAAGAGCUUGCUCUUACGGGUGGCGAGUGGCGGACGGGUGAGGAAUACAUCGGAAUCUACUUUUUCGUGGGGGAUAACGUAGGGAAACUUACGCUAAUACCGCAUACGACCUACGGGUGAAAGCAGGGGAUCUUCGGACCUUGCGCGAUUGAAUGAGCCGAUGUCGGAUUAGCUAGUUGGCGGGGUAAAGGCCCACCAAGGCGACGAUCCGUAGCUGGUCUGAGAGGAUGAUCAGCCACACUGGAACUGAGACACGGUCCAGACUCCUACGGGAGGCAGCAGUGGGGAAUAUUGGACAAUGGGCGCAAGCCUGAUCCAGCCAUACCGCGUGGGUGAAGAAGGCCUUCGUGUUGUAAAGCCCUUUUGUUGGGAAAGAAAAGCAGCAGGUUAAUACCCCGCUGUUCUGACGGUACCCAAAGAAUAAGCACCGGCUAACUUCGUG
rnacentral:rRNA from 1 species